UACGGAGGGGGCUAGCGUUGCUCGGAAUGACUGGGCGUAAAGGGCGCGUAGGCGGAUUGCUUUGUCGGGCGUGAAAUUCCAGGGCUUAACCUUGGGGCUGCGUUCGAGACGGGUGAUCUUGAGUUCGGAAGAGGGUCGUGGAAUUCCCAGUGUAGAGGUGAAAUUCGUAGAUAUUGGGAAGAACACCGGUGGCGAAGGCGGCGACCUGGUCCGAGACUGACGCUGAGGCGCGAAAGCGUGGGGAGCAAACAGG
rnacentral:rRNA from 1 species